rnacentral:lncRNA from 1 species
UACAAGAGUGAGCCACUGGGCCCAGCCUCACCCCAUUUUAGAGAUGAGGAAACCUGAGGAUAGAGAGGCCAAGUAGCUAUCUUACCAUCACACAGCAAGUGAGCGGCAAAGCCCAGGGGGUUUGACUUUAAAGGCUUUGCUAAUUCUGAUGGCCCCACCUUCCAAGGGCAUUGCCCCCAGGUGUGAGUGAAAGCACCACUGUGGACAAGAAAGAGCCGCUUGGGAUCCUGGCCCUUUUGACAGGAAAAGUGGCCAUGGGGUCAGACAGGCUAGAGGACCAAGGCUGGUUCUGCCAAUGACCAUGUCAGUGACAUUGCCCAAGCCACUUAGAUCUCUGAAUAUAUGUACAGUGGUGGAGCUCAACUUGUAGAGCUAUGAGGAUUAAAUGAGAAUAUACACAUAAGCACUUGGCACAGUAUCUGGCACACAGUAGCCAUUUAGUACAUGGCACACAUGGGUAUUACUUCCGGAGUGAAUCCUUCUGUUUAAGCAGCAAACAGCAAGAGUUGCCUUGCUCCCUGCAAUACACAUUUCUGAGUCUGGCAUGCCACCUGCUGGUCACACUCUCCCCUCACUCAUAACUCAAGUCCCCUGGCCUCCUUGCUGCUCCUUUAAAAUGCCAACUGUGGGGCUGGCAAGAUGGCUCAUGCCUGUAAUUCCAGCAGUUUGGCUCCCGGGUUCAAGUGAUUCUCCUGCCUCAGCCUCCUGAGUAGCUGGGAUUACAGGUGCCUGCCACCACACUUGGAUGAUUUUUGUAUUUUUAGUAGAGACGUGGUUUCACCCAGUUGGUCAGGCUGGUCUUGAACUCCUGACCUUGUGAUCCACCCAUCUCGGCCUCUCAAAGUGCUGGGGUUACAGGCAUGAGCCACAACACCUGGCCAAUUCCUAUUGUUUAUAAGGCACCCUAUCUUGUUAUAGUAGCCUGAACAGACUAAGGCAUGGACAAUAAAUGAGUUAAUAUUCUUCUUAUGAUAUAGUUAUUAUUUCUGUAGUUGCUGAUCUAUCUAUAUGCCCUUUUAGGCCCCUUUUAGUCUUGAUAUCUUCUGUUGAACAACAUGGAUCUGCAUUUAGGGAAAGGAAACAGAAAGAACUGCAGUAUUGUGCAAGCAAAUGGAACCUGAGAAGGAUAUAAACAGGAAAAUCCAGUUUUCUCAACACUUGGUCAUGGAGUUGAGAUGAAAGUUGGGCCAACACCCUCUCCAUAAUAACCUUUCCCAAACUAAAACACAGAUUAUAUGUAGCAUGUACGUAUUACAUAAACUUCAAAUAGCUAAGAGAUGUUGAGUACUUACUAUAUACCAGCCAGUGUUCUGAAUGUUUUAAUCAACACAAUGAGCUUCACAGCAACCAUAUAAUGCAGAUGCCGCUGCCAAUAUGUUCCAUCUCACUGAUGAGGAAGGUGAGUCCAGGGAAUGUAGGGAUCUUGUCCAAAGUUAUACAACUAGGGAGUAGGGGGACCCAAGUAAGCCACUGUGUCCUGUUCUAGAGCCUGUAGGUCCUGACCGCACAUCCAGCAUGCAAAAAAAUGUAGUGCUAAAGCAAUGGGAUGAGGGACAUUGCCGCUGCCUAGAGACUCCACUGCUGUGUGGCAAGGACACUGUAAAGGUGAGUCUCUGUAGUGUGCAUAAAGGUCUCUUGGAGAGCCUGUUAAAAACGUGGAUUCUCAGGUCCCACCUCUAGAGAGACUGAUUGAGUAAGGCUGGGGUGUGUCCAGGAUCCACCUGGGAUCCCACUAAGUCUCCUGCUUUUGCCCUGGUCAUGCUGGGGCUCAGAAGGCUCUCAGAGGUGCAUCCAUUCUGUGGAACUGUGAAGCUGAGCAAUAAGCACUGAAGAAAUAUCCUAGCUCACUAAGAAAGAUGAAGACAGCACUGCUGCCAAGUAUGCCCAUGGAAGUUUCUGUACCUAAUAAUGGCUCACGUACUAAAAGUCUGUCAUAAGAGAGGUCUUACGAGCCUUGACAAAGUCAUGAGAGACAUCCAGAAUUCAGUGUACCAUCGCCUAGCAGUAUAAGAGUUCUAUGUCCUAGGAAGUAUGUGUAAGACUGCAGAAUUCUUGUCAAGUUCAAAAGUCUUUGGAUCAAAGCAGAAAGAGAUUUGUAUAUAACAGCCACAUACAAAAUCAAUCAAGCAAUAAAAUGGCUGCAGACUUUGGAAUGUAGUCAGAAAAAUUAGGGAAUACAUGGAAUAUGAAUCCAGGAACGUGGGCUAUGGGAACAUCCCUCGCUUGAAGUUAAGGGUCAUUGACG